UCUUCCGUAGUAUAGUGGUCAGUAUGUGAGCUUGUCAUCUCUGUCACAGAGAUCUCAUCGCUCGAGACCCGGGUUCAAUUCCCGGCGGGAGAG